rnacentral:rRNA from 1 species
UACGGCUACAUCACGUUGAAACAUCGCUUCCCUUAUGAUUACUGAAGUUAAGCAAUGUCAAGUCUGGUCAGUACCUAGAUGGGUGACCACUUAGGAAUACCAGGUACUGUAUG